GCUGCCAUAGCUUAGUGGUAAAGUCCUCGCUUAAUAAACGAGAGGUCGGAGGUUCAAUCCAACCUGGCAGCA
rfam:Phytophthora megakarya strain zdho120 scaffold_3530, whole genome shotgun sequence.